UACGGAGGGGGCUAGCGUUGUUCGGAAUUACUGGGCGUAAAGCGUACGUAGGCGGCUUUGUAAGUCAGAGGUGAAAGCCCGGGGCUCAACUCCGGAAUUGCCUUUAAGACUGCAUCGCUUGAAUCAUGGAGAGGUGAGUGGAAUUCCGAGUGUAGAGGUGAAAUUCGUAGAUAUUCGGAAGAACACCAGUGGCGAAGGCGACUCACUGGACAUGUAUUGACGCUGAGGUACGAAAGCGUGGGGAGCAAACAGG
rnacentral:rRNA from 1 species